UUCCGGUUGAUCCCGCCGGACCUGACUGCUAUCGGAUUGAUACUAAGCCAUGCGAGUCAUUGUAGUAAUACAAGGCAGACGGCUCAGUAACGCGUAGUCAACCUAACCUAUGGACGGGAAUAACCUCGGGAAACUGAGUAUAAUGCCCGAUAGAACAUUAUGCCUGGAAUGGUUUAUGUUCCAAAUGAUUUAUCGCCGUAGGAUGGGACUGCGGCCUAUCAGUUUGUUGGUGAGGUAAUGGCCCACCAAGACUAUUACAGGUACGGGCUCUGAGAGGAGUAGCCCGGAGAUGGGUACUGAGACACGGACCCAGGCCCUAUGGGGCGCAGCAGGCGAGAAAACUUUGCAAUGUGCGAAAGCACGACAAGGUUAAUCCGAGUGGUUUCUGCUAAAGGAACCUUUUGUCGGUCCUAGAAACACCGAUGAAUAAGGGGUGGGCAAGUUCUGGUGUCAGCCGCCGCGGUAAAACCAGCACCUCAAGUGGUCAGGAUGAUUAUUGGGCCUAAAGCAUCCGUAGCCGGCUCUGUUAGUUUUCGGUUAAAUCUGUACGCUUAACGUACAGGCUGCCGGGAAUACUGCAGAGCUAGGGAGUGGGAGAGGUAGACGGUACUCGGUAGGAAGGGGUAAAAUCCUUUGAUCUAUUGAUGACCACCUGUGGCGAAGGCGGUCUACCAGAACACGUCCGACGGUGAGGGAUGAAAGCUGGGGGGAGCAAACCGGAUUAGAUACCCGGGUAGUCCCAGCUGUAACUAUGCAAACUCAG
rnacentral:rRNA from 1 species